rnacentral:precursor_RNA from 10 species
GCAAAAACCCAAGUAAACCUAUUUGUGUUUCCUUGUCACACAUCCGUCACAGUGACAUUAAACAUUGGACGGAAGUCUGAUGAGGGUUCACACAGUUAUUAUUCUUCUCAACAAUAU